UACGUAGGGCGCAAGCGUUGUCCGGAAUUAUUGGGCGUAAAGAGCUCGUAGGCGGUUGUGUCACGUGGCCGUGAAAGUCCGGGGCUCAACUCCGGAUCUGCGGUGGGUACGGGCAGACUAGAGUGAUGUAGGGGAGACUGGAAUUCCUGGUGUAGCGGUGAAAUGCGCAGAUAUCAGGAGGAACACCGAUGGCGAAGGCAGGUCUCUGGGCAUUAACUGACGCUGAGGAGCGAAAGCAUGGGGAGCGAACAGG
rnacentral:rRNA from 1 species